GCAGACACAUUCCAGCCAAUCAGCAGCAGACCCUCCCUCCCAGACCCUCCCACCUCCUGGACAGCAUCCAUUUUGAAGCUGUAUUCUUAGUGAGCUGUCCAGGAGGUGGGAGGGUCUGGGAGGGAGGGUCUGCUGCUGAUUGGCUGGAAUGUGUCUG